GCGGAUGUGGUGCAUGGUGCACAGCUGCAGUCCAUAAAAUGUUGGUGUACCUAGUCAUUAAUGCAGCUGAUCGGGUUCGAUUCCCGGCAUCCGCA